UGUUCAGUUUCAUUUCAAUACGAUUUCGCAGCCGCUGUAAAUCAAGAUCACAAUCGUUUCUUACAUAUAUGAAAAUCAUGCAUCGUUUUCUUUAUGUUAUCGACUCAUAAUAAUCACCAAGAGUUUUAUGUGUCGAUUUUUUCUUUUCCUUCAUCAUGCACAUAGAUCUAAAAAUUAGUAAAGAUCCGCCAUAUAUACUUUGGUGUUUCGAAGAUUAUGCUGUUCGACUAUCACUCACACUAUACUUUGAUGUGUAUUCUGUUGUCAGCCUAGUAGAAUCAGAUUACUAUGAGUUAGGUGUUCAUAACAUUUCAAGAGUUGGUUUUGUAGGUUUGUCCGAGGCUCCUAGCUUGAAAAGGAUGAAGUGGUUGGCUGAGACGAAUCCUGAGAAGAUGAGGCAAAAGACGGAAGGAGGGCUCCUUUGCUGAUUAAAGUAGCGGAUGUAGUUUAGUGUAUUAGAUAAACCGUGACAACAUUAAACAUGAACUUUUGUUAUAACAGAGGCCAAUUUGAACUUUAUGUCUCGAUAAAUCGAUUAAAAAAGCCUAAGUACAAAACAUUUACUGGACAAUCUUAUACAUUCCUUUGCUGAUUAAAGUAGCGGAUGUAGUUUCCAUUGGUUACAGGGUGGAUUAAUCUUUGUUUAAACCCUGUUUUAUUUUCUGUCAAGUUAUUGUAUGAGUAUAAAUAUAUAUAUGAUAUGUGUUGGUGUAUCAUUGUAUGCAUAUGAAUUUGAAUA